UCUGUCCUUUUCUCUUCUUUCUGUUUCUACACUAUUGUUUCCAUCGUUUCCAUCAUCAGCCGAUCAGGAGUUGAACUCAUUUCCUCUGAGGACUGGAGGGAGCACGUCUCAUGUGGAUGUGAGCUGCUACUCACGUGAUGAACACCUUGAAUGUGACGUUAACACAAAGUGAACUGCUGACACAAGAUGAGCUGUGUUGCCUCUGGUGUCUGUUCAAAGUUUGCAUCAGGUCCAUUGAUUUCACUUUAGUGUUUUGUGGUAUUUCUCACAUCACGUGUUAAACACGUGAAGAAGAAGGAGUUAGGUGUGUUUUAAUCCACCAUGUUCACACGGCGGCCAUUUUCCUCUGACGUCUCUCUCAGGGUGUGAAGCUCGAAUGUUGUUACCAACAGAAUAAUGUUGUACUGCUGUGAUCCAGGUUUAUAAGUUACACAAAAAAGAUAAUAUAUUAUUACUUAUUCUUCUUUAGGAGAUUCAUUAUUAUAAUAGUAUUGGUAAUUUUAGUAACAUAAUAAGUUUGUUUGCUGCACCUUUAAGAGACUGAUUUUAAUUAUACUUUUUCUAUUUUCAAAUUUACAUAUGAACAAUAUUCAAAUUUUAAGUCUAGUUCAUUUCAUUUGUUGUUCACUCACAACUUCCUCUUUUCUAACUUUGUUAUGUACAGUUUUGCAACAGGGAAGAUUUUCUUUCAGGGAUCAUUUAAAGUUUUUUUUAUUCUGUUCAUUUAUUUUUACAUUAAAUAUGAAGCUCAUUUGUUCCUAUUUGCUAUUGUUUUGAAACUCUUCCUAUAUUUUAAUCUCACUUCCAGUAUUUGUUCUGUCUUUCGUUCGUCCUUUUCAUAAUAAAGCCAUUCAGACGCCA